AGUGAACGCUGGCGGUAGGCCUAACACAUGCAAGUCGAACGGCAGCACAGUAAGAGCUUGCUCUUACGGGUGGCGAGUGGCGGACGGGUGAGGAAUACAUCGGAAUCUACUUUUUCGUGGGGGAUAACGUAGGGAAACUUACGCUAAUACCGCAUACGACCUACGGGUGAAAGCAGGGGAUCUUCGGACCUUGCGCGAUUGAAUGAGCCGAUGUCGGAUUAGCUAGUUGGCGGGGUAAAGGCCCACCAAGGCGACGAUCCGUAGCUGGUCUGAGAGGAGGGUCAGCCACACUGGAACUGAGACACGGUCCAGACUCCUACGGGAGGCAGCAGUGGGGAAUAUUGGACAAUGGGCGCAAGCCUGAUCCAGCCAUACCGCGUGGGUGAAGAAGGCCUUCGGGUUGUAAAGCCCUUUUGUUGGGAAAGAAAAGCAGCAGGUUAAGACCCCGCUGUUCUGACGGUACCCAAAGAAUAAGCACCGGCUAACUUCGUG
rnacentral:rRNA from 1 species